CUUUUAUUUAAAUUCGUUUGUAAAGCAAUAAAUCUGUCUUGAGGUCUCACUGCAUUUCAAGUGAUGAAUUUGAUGCUCUCUGAUGCCUUGAAUUUCCCCUUGAGCCAAAAAAGCUGCUAGCUUUAGAGUGUUUUAUUGGAAACGUGUGAUUUUAAUUAAGACAGAAGACCUGUCUGGAGAUAUUAUUGCUAGGUGAAGUUUGGAAUGUAAUCAUCAGCUGGAGUGGAAGAACAGAAACUGAAAAGGUAAAAUUGCAUUAUUAUGGACAAAAGUAUUUCAGCCUGAGCUGCAAAGAUGAAUCAAAGCUUUUAGCUCAAAGAAAAAAAAAAAUCCUGCAUGCCUCAGAAAAAUAAGGCUGAUGUGAAGAGGA